UACGGGGGGGGCAAGCGUUGUUCGGAAUUACUGGGCGUAAAGGGCUCGUAGGUGGCCAACUAAGUCGGACGUGAAAUCCCCCGGCUUAACCUGGGAACUGCGUCUGAUACUGGACGGCUUGAGUAUGGGAGAGGGAUGCGGAAUUCCAGGUGUAGCGGUGAAAUGCGUAGAUAUCUGGAGGAACACCGGUGGCGAAGGCGGCAUCCUGGACCAACACUGACGCUGAGACGCGAAAGCGUGGGGAGCGAACAGG
rnacentral:rRNA from 1 species